GACGAACGCUGGCGGCGUGCCUAAUACAUGCAAGUAGAACGCUGAAGGGGGAGCUUGCUUCUCUGGAUGAGUUGCGAACGGGUGAGUAACGCGUAGGUAACCUGCCUGGUAGCGGGGGAUAACUAUUGGAAACGAUAGCUAAUACCGCAUAAUAGCAGUUGUUGCAUGACAACUGUUUGAAAGGUGCAAUUGCACCACUACCAGAUGGACCUGCGUUGUAUUAGCUAGUUGGUGGGGUAACGGCUCACCAAGGCGACGAUACAUAGCCGACCUGAGAGGGUGAUCGGCCACACUGGGACUGAGACACGGCCCAGACUCCUACGGGAGGCAGCAGUAGGGAAUCUUCGGCAAUGGACGGAAGUCUGACCGAGCAACGCCGCGUGAGUGAAGAAGGUUUUCGGAUCGUAAAGCUCUGUUGUAAGAGAAGAACGAGUGUGAGAGUGGAAAGUUCACACUGUGACGGUAUCUUACCAGAAAGGGACGGCUAACUACGUG
rnacentral:rRNA from 1 species